rnacentral:rRNA from 1 species
GAUGAACGCUAGCGAUAGGCUUAACACAUGCAAGUCGAGGGGCAGCAUGGUCUUAGCUUGCUAAGGCUGAUGGCGACCGGCGCACGGGUGCGUAACGCGUAUGCAACUUGCCUCACAGAGGGGGAUAACCCGUCGAAAGACGGACUAAUACCGCGUACACUCUAUGUUGGGCAUCCAAUGUAGAGGAAAUGAAAUUCGCUGUGAGAUAGGCAUGCGUCCCAUUAGCUAGUUGGUGAGGUAACGGCUCACCAAGGCGACGAUGGGUAGGGGAACUGAGAGGUUGAACCCCCACGCUGGUACGGAGACACGGACCAGACUCCUACGGGAGGCAGCAGUGAGGAAUAUUGGUCAAUGGGCGAGAGCCUGAACCAGCCAAGUCGCGUGAAGGAUGACUGUCUUAUGGAUUGUAAACUUCUUUUAUACGGGAAUAACAAGAGUCACGUGUGGCUCCCUGCAUGUACCGUAUGAAUAAGCAUCGGCUAACUCCGUG